rnacentral:lncRNA from 1 species
UAAAGAGGGCCCAAAAUUCUUAUCAAUACAGUUACCAUCAAACGCUUAUUCAAAUUCUCAUCAGAAAGUCACCCACUUCCUCCAAUGAGUAACGCCAAAACUUGAUAUUUCCAUUUCUUUGAAAUUUUUUUAAUGAAAUUUUCCUCUGAUAAGACAAAAACUGAAAGGAAUCCAGUUUUCUUUUAGUGCUGAAAGUCUCUAUCAUUAAGCCAAGAAAUCUUCUGAAAACUUCAAGUUCCAUGUUCUUCCUUUGAAGAUGGUGCAAAGAAAGGUGAUCAACAAGCUUGGAAUCCAAUUCCAAGCUGAUGGUGAUCAAUUGCAGCAACAGGAUGGGAAGAAUCGAGGAAAAGAUUUGAAGAAGAAAAUGNNNN